UACGAGUGCCCCAAGCGUUAUCCGGAAUCAUUGGGCGUAAAGGGUGUGUAGGCGGUUGUGUUAGUCUUUUGUUAAAGCUCUCGGCUUAACCGGGAAGGUGCAAAAGAAACGGCACAACUAGAGGAUGCGAGAGGUGAAUGGAACUCAUAGUGUAGGGGUGAAAUCCGUUGAUAUUAUGGGGAACACCAAAAGCGAAGGCAAUUCACUGGCGCAUUCCUGACGCUGAGACACGAAAGCGUGGGUAGCGAAUGGG
rnacentral:rRNA from 1 species